CAGCCACUUAAGAAACUGCUAUUGCAGGGGUGGACUGGCCAUCGGGAGUACCGGGAUUUUUCCCGGUGGGCUGAUUGAAGGCCGUUUUUUAUUUUAUUUUUAUUCAUUGAUUAAUUUAUUUCUGCUGCGCCUAUCGUUUCUCUGUCGACCCCAAGAGAGCGAGAGAUUGGCGAAAAAAUCAAACUGAGCUUCAGCGUCUGUCCGAGGAGGACAGCAACAGGGCCAGGCUGCCUGGUGGAGGGAGGAAGAAGGCCAGCGAGGAGCUUGAGAUAAACAUGCGGGAAUCGGUGAUCAGCAAACGGGCACGCCACGAGAGAGUGUCCCGCAUGAUGAUCAGGGCGAUGGCGGAACAAAUGUACGCCACCGUGAGUGACAGCAGAGAUGAGGAGUUUGCUGCAAGUGCUGGUUAGCUGAAUCGUUUCCUCCUCCGUAACAACUUCACUUGCAGAAACAUGCCAGAGAAUUCGCCGAGAAGCUGGCGAAGUUUGUGACAUUUUCAUCCCAGAUUUUUGCCCAAAAUAAACGCCCCGGCUAUUAUUUGGUAAUUUACGGUAUGAUAACUCUCCCAGCUGGGGUGAGAGACAUGCAUCACAAUGCUCAGCUGCAGACACAUCAGAGAGGUGACGAGUAAUGACCGUAAUCAAGGUUUCCAGCGCCAUCUCUGAACGAAUGUUUGGUAGGAACCAAGUUACGCGGAUGUUUCUCUCGGACCGACCUGACCGAGGGACGACAGCAGAACGAGACAUCCCCAUUGGUUAUUGCAUGGCUUUUCCCCCUUUUCCACCUAGACGCGUCAUAGCUCAUUACAUAAAGUUGGAGGAUUUUUACCUUACAGCUUUCCACCCAGAGAGCAUGUUAAUGACUAUAAUGACAGCAUGGACUAACAUGAUGUGGUCACCACAACCAGAGACGUUGGGAUCCUGA
rnacentral:lncRNA from 1 species